UUCCAAAUGAUUUGUCAAAUUGUUUGGAUUAUAUUUCGUUGACAAAAUUGAUUUACCUUUGACAUCGUUGCGUGACAAAAGAGAAGAGAUUAAUUGAUUUGUUUCACUUUUAUCGCAAUUGUGAUUAAAAUUGUCACUGGUGAUCAACUAUUAAUUGUGGACAAAAAGAUCCUGUUUAACAUUACACUCACUCACAAAUGGAUUAAUUGUAACUUCCUGGAUUCUAAUGAUUAACAUUUAUCAGGUUGAUAGAGAAAUUUUAUCAUCAACUCAACAUUGACAGUAGACAAUCAGACAUGACUUAUUAACAUUCACAGCAUCAUCAUCAUCAUCACCGUUAUCAACUAAUCAAUUGUCUAUAUUACCAGUGAGCAAUUACAUGUAUUAUUUACCUUCAAAAUUGUAAUUUAAACAAUUGAACCGAUGAAGAUUUAUAUCCAAAACCAGUAGUUGAGCAAUUGGACCUAACCUUGUAAUCAAAAGACUCCAGGAAACAUUGUUAAUACAUCAAUCGUAUCAAGAUAACUCAUUAAUUAUCAUAGUUAUCAAAUUAUGUUACUAAUCAAUAUUGAUUAUUGGUUUCAAUGGUCAACCACCAACACUAUCUGACCAAUAAUCACACACAUUCAAUUAACCUUGUUAGAUGGGAAACUUAUUUAUUCAAUGUUUCAAUGUUUAGGUAAAAGGUCGACUGUAAUCUAUACCUGAUGAUUUAUUUCAACGUAAUGAUUUAAUAAUUAUCAAUACACUUGAAUAAAC